GUGAAUCAUCGAAUUUUUGAACGCAAAUUGCACUCUCCUCGGAGAGUAUGCCUGUUUGAGGGUCAGCCUAUAAAAAAUCGACAUCGUUGCUGCUUCACGGUGACGUUCUUCGGAAAUUGCGUGAUCUUACAUCUUUUGGGAUUAAGCGACUGAAAAUUUUCUUUUUGGUUCCAUGAACGUUUCUAAUAUUUAUUUCUUUACACGUUUAAGGUAUCGACUUUUAUUAGACGUUAACAUCAUAUCGGAUCGCGACC
rnacentral:misc_RNA from 1 species